GAUGAAGAACGUAGCUAAAUGUGAUAAGUAAUGUGAAUUGCAGAAUUCAGUGAAUCAUCGAAUCUUUGAACGCACAUUGCGCCCGCCAGUAUUCUGGCGGGCAUGCCUGUCUGAGCGUCAUUUCAACCCUCAUGCCCCUAGGGCGUGGUGUUGGGGAUCGGCCAAAGCCCGCGAGGGACGGCCGGCCCCUAAAUCUAGUGGCGGACCCGUCGUGGCCUCCUCUGCGAAGUAGUGAUAUUCCGCAUCGGAGAGCGACGAGCCCCUGCCGUUAAACCCCCAACUUUCCAAGGUUGACCUCAGAUCAGGUAGGAAUACCCGCUGAACUUAAGCAUAUCAAUAAGCGGAGGA
rnacentral:misc_RNA from 1 species